rnacentral:lncRNA from 1 species
UUCUGCUUGAAAAUUUUUACAUAAAAUUAAAGUCUGUCAUAAUACUUUAUCUUCUGUUUGUGGUUAGAGUAGGUGUCUUUACUUUCUUUAUGAUCUCUUUGUUCAGGUAAGAAGGGCUAUACUGGAGUGAAAUCAUAACUUUAGUUACAUCGUAACAUUAGAAACGGGCACACUCUUGUAAACAACUGCAACAAAUGGAGAUUAUGCUUAACAGAAAAUAUAUAAAAAUAUUACAUGUACCACGUGUGUUCAUGUUAAUAAGCAAAUUGUUGAAAGUUAAUAUCUCUAUAUUCAAGAUAUAGCUAUUAAAUAUGUAAUACAUAACAUUAAUACACAUUACACAUGUAGUAUUUUAUUUAUUAUUUCUAAACUGUCACUUGUUUUAUUACUCAUAUUUUUGAUGCAGUAAAAAACAAACUAGGAAUUAAUCCUUUAAAGAAGUAUAAAAAUAAAUCGCGAUCAAGGAACUCGCUGGAGUAUAAAUUGGCAUAAGUAGAUACUAAAGUCUGGUAUUUUUAUACUACCCAGAAAGCUAUUAUAAUAAUUCAAGUGAAGGGUGAAUGACCACAAUGUUGAUUAAAAAAAUAGAUCUGUAGAAGAUUACUGAUAAAGUACACAUGUGAAAUCAACUGGUCCAGUGGCCUCUGCAAUUAUAUGGAAAGCUUUAUUCAUACUAUACACAUCUAUGUCUUUCUCCUGCUACUGAACAUUUUUGAUCUAGGUCAACAGUUCAUGUUAUAGAGACAGUGACUCAGAGAAAGUACGUAAGUUUUUGCAAAUCACAGUGUUGCUUAUGGCCAGGUGCAGUGGCUCAUGCCUGUAAUUCCAGCACUUUGGGUGGCUGAGGUGGGCAUAUUGCUUGAGACCAGGAGUUCAAGACCAACCUGGACAACAUGAUGAAAGCCCAUCUCUACAAAAAAUUAGCCAGGCAUUUUGGCUCAUGCCUGUAGUCCCAGCUACCUGGGAGACAAAAGUGGGAGGGUCAAUUGAGCCCCGGAAGUUGAGGCUGCAGUAAGGGAUUAUAGCAACACUGCACUCCAGCCUAAGUGACAGAGUGAGACCCUACCUUAAAAAAUAAAUAAAUAAAAAUAAAAAAUUUGUGAGACUCUACCUUAAAAAAAAUUUGUUGCCUAUGAACAUACUGCGAGCAGCAUAAAGACACUUGCAUUGAACCAUCCUGAACACACCAGGAUUCCUUUCUUUGGAGAGGGAGAGUGUUUUCUCUUAAAGUCAUAGAAUUGGGAAGCCCUUUGAAUCUUCCUGUAUUAUUUCUAAAUCAAAGUUAAAUACUAUCACCUCCUUCAAUUUUAAAUGCACCUGCAUGCCACCCAAAUUUGUACAUUCACACCACUAAAUAACUGAAGGUUUUGAACUCUGCUUAUGUGUAGGAAAACAUAGUUAUCCCCAGUAGCAUCCCUUCUACUCUUUGAGAAAGUUGGGCUGAACAUUUAUUUAUUUAUUUAUUUAUUAUUUUUAAUUGAUCUGAAUCGGUUUAUUCCUUCCCUCUGGCUCUGUGAAAGAAGUAUAUUUGUUUGUACAGUUUUUGUUAGGGUCCUUUUCCAUAUUUCCAUGAAAAUCUAGAUGGUCUUUAUUAUCUACAUUUAGAAAAUCUC